rnacentral:rRNA from 1 species
UACGAACCGUCCAAACGUUAUUCGGAAUUACUGGGCUUAAAGGGUGCGUAGGCGGCCCGGUAAGUUGGGUGUGAAAUCCCUCGGCUUAACCGAGGAAUUGCGCCCAAAACUGUCGGGCUCGAGGAAGAUAGAGGUGAGCGGAACUUAGGGUGGAGCGGUGAAAUGCGUUGAUAUCCUAAGGAACACCGGUGGCGGAAGCGGCUCACUGGGUCUUUUCUGACGCUGAGGCACGAAAGCUAGGGGAGCGAGGAGG